AGACAGAUUUAGAUCGAGGACGCGGACGUCAAAGACGGCCUGAAAAUGGCGUCUUGUGCCCAUGUAUGGAUAUGCCACGCCAUUUUCACGUCGUCUUUGACGUCCUUGAUCUAAAUCUGUCU